CGAAUGACGUGGAUUCCUGACCAAUACGCAUGAGUAUAUUCGCGCGAGUAGGCGUCUUACAAAACCAGCCGACAUCCGGCGGCGAACGACUACGGUCACACAAAGGGCGUGGUACAGCGUUUAACCGCCUUUUCGGGGACGACGCAACUAUUUAUACCGUAAAUAGGUGAACACACGACAAUAAGUAAUAAUUUAUACGAUCGUGUGUACAUUAUUUCCGCCCACUCGAUUGCAAACAGCCGUUGAAUCGUCAUUUUUAUUUUUAUUUUCAUACGGAUGACGUGUACUUAGGUAUAUUACACAUAUAUUGUCACCAGACGUACUCUUUUUCGUAGAACAGUACUCCUUUUUUUUUUUAAAUUAUGUGCUAAUACGUGUUUAUAAUUUUGUACAAUUUGAUUAUUAAUUUUUAUUUUAAUAUUUUAUGGUUCGACCUAAUGCAUUCCAAACGUCCGC